rnacentral:lncRNA from 1 species
CAAAGAAGAAGGUCAAAAACCAAUUACAUUCUAGGAGUGACCUUGAUGACUUAACUCUGUAAUCUGCAGCAACCUCAGAGGAUCAUGGGAUGCAUUAUGCACGUCAUGGAAUGGAUUGUAAUGGUUUCUUUUUUCUUUUUUCUGUUUCUUUUAAACAUUUCCUGAAAAUUUUCAGUGUAACAUCUAUGAAAUCAAAGGAUGAAGAAGAUCGUGCCCAGAGCUCUCCUUGGGGGUGGAUGACAGAAUGAACAUUUACUCUGGGCUCACUGGAAAAGCUCCAACGUCUUGGAAAUUGAGUGGGUAAGCACAACCUUGAGCACAUUGUCAGCAUUCCAUUUCUUUUUUGAAUAAGAAUAUGCAGUUUUACCAAUAUCAUUGGUUCAAGAGGCUUUCCUUUCCCAGUUGUGUAUUCUUGGCACCUUUGUUGAAGAUCACUU